GUGGUGUCAUACUGGUUGGGGCUAACUCUGGUCCUUUUGGAUCUGGUUCGUUGUCAGCACAAUGACGUUGGUCCCUUCGUGAAAGCACUGUGAGGCUGCCAGGUACCUGAUCCUUUUGAAGGUGAACUUUGAGGCGCUCAUGACUUUGAUGAUGUUGAAGGCCGCCCAGUUGAUGCUGUAGCCCAGCAUUUGCAAGUAGGUAGGCUUGCAGAUGGCAUUAGUUGUCAUGGCAAUGUUAUCCUGCUUCAGAUCCUGCUUGAUCUCAUCGAUUCACUGAGAGAUGUACCUUGCCUCGUCCUCCUUGUGGUUGCGGAUGCCGUGCACCAGGUCCUGGAGGUUCUUGUUGAACAUGCGGCCCAUACUGCCUUUCACCAUUUCCAACACCAUGGUGGUGGUGGAGGCUGGGAGGAAGAGGCGGCGGCGGUGAGGGGGGAGCGGGGAGCAGCCGGGAGGGCGGUGCUCUUCUUGGAGGAGAGCAGAGCAGAGGCAGACCCAGGUGGCGGUGAAGAUGCCUCACAUGCCUCCUUCCCACCCCUCAUGCUCAGUAUCUGCUCAGUAGGAUAAGUAAGUAAAUAAGUAAGACUGCGGCUCCAGCUUCAAACCCACAGAGCCGACCCAAGAAGAUACUGUACUAUGCACAACUGAAAGCUGCUGAGAGAAGUACUCUAGGCAGCCAGUGUGGUGUAGUGGUUAGAAUGUCAGUCUAGGGCCUGGGAGAUCACGGUUCAAAUCCCCAUUCAGUCAUGAAGCUCACUGGGUGACCUUGGGCCAGUCACAGCCUCUUAAUCAGCAAACUUUUUCAGCAGGGGGCCAGUCCACUGUCCCUCAGAUCUUGUCGGGGACUGGACUAUAUUUUGAAGAAGAAGAAAGAAUGAAUUCCUAUGCCCCACAAAUAACCCAGAAAUGCAUUUUAAAUAAAAGCACACAUUCUACUCAUGUAAAAACACACUGAUUCCUAGACCAUCUGUGGGCCAAAUUUAGAAGGCGAUUGGGCCAGAUCCGGCUCCCGGACCUUAGUUUGCCUACCCAUGGAUUAAGGACUCAGCUUCAUUAGUCAAGAAACUGCAUUUUGAAUGUGUUAUAAAAAUGCAACACCAGAUGGCGCCAGAGAGCAAACAGAAAUUUCCAAGCAAUUUUCCAUAGCGAUUUCCCCCCUUUUCUUAUAACGAUUUAAUUUCUGACUUAUUUAUAGCAUUUCCCCCCUGCCCCCUGUGUGUGGAGAAUUAACAGCGUUGCAUACCUCCUCUCCCAAUACAAGUCAUUAACCAGGGCAACCAGAACCUUUUCAGUGCCUAAACCAGGUCAGAAGUGAGAUUCAAAUUGGUCUAGACAAUCAGUUUCUUUUACGUAUGCCUGGUGCUCGCCAGCUAAUAUAAUCUGACCAAGCACCUUUGCAACUAGGCAAAAUCUGUCACAGACUUCUGGGUUCGGAAAGGGCUUCUUGAGGAGGGGGUGUCCUCCACCUCCUUCACGAACAGUGGGACUCAUGCUCCUGACGUCUCCCAGAUACUCAGUCAGUGGAGUCUUAACCUCAAAGUUGUGGGUUCAAGCCCCACAUAGGGCAAAAUAUUGCUGUAUUGCAGGGCGUAGAUGACCCUCGUAGUCCCUUCCAACUCUACAGAUCUAAGUGUGCAAUGAUAGUAUCCAUGUGUGCACACUGUUGACCCUGGGCCUAUGAUGCCUUCCACUGUUCAUUCCCCUCAUGGGAGAAGCAUGUGUUUCCCCUUCCUCAAGCAUUCCUUCAGAAGUGACUUGCUGUUUUCACUUCCUCCUUGUAAUGUGCAAAUCGACCUCCUAUUAUCAUAUUUGUUAGGUAUGAUUAAUAGUUAUUUUGCUUCAUUUGGAUACUAAACGCUUUAAGAGAAGCGAGUGCAUCACCAUCCCUAUUUAUGUAACACCUACUUCAGUCUUGCCUGGGGCCUUGAGAAUCUGUGGCAAUAAAUAGCUCAUCCUAUUAUUGUCAAGCUUCCUGUCUUGCUAGUACAAUCUUACAUUCGAUUUAACAGAAGCCAUGGCUGAUCCUGCAUCUGACUUUCUGAGAAGGCUUUUCUCACUUCACACAGCUAUACAGUACCACACCUACCUGGUGAGGGUAUAGAAUAUACUUCUAUUAUACAAACAUCACACAAUAUUAUCCGGUAAAAUAAAGAAUCAUAUUCCUGUAUUUUUAAAGUUCUCAGUCUAGUACAAGGUUUCUCAAACUUGGGUCUCCAGCUGUUUUUGGACUACAACUCCCAUCAUUCCUAGCUAGCAGAACCAGUGGUCGAGGAUGAUGGGAAUUGUAGUCCAACAACAGCUGGAGACCCACGUUUGGGAAAUCCUGGUGCCCUCCAAAUGUUUUGGAUUAAAACUCUCAUCAGCCUCAGUUUUUAUUUUGCCCUUGGGCCUUCUAAAUUCGGUUUCAGCUUUUAACCCUGCUUUGCUGAUUUUUAUUCUCUGCUCUCUGUUUCCUUGGUCUGUUCCUCCAGAUCUUUCCUGAUGUUGUUUUAAUGCUGCAUUUUAUCUCAUUGUUAUGUAUUAUAGAAUUGUUAUUCUGUUAUGUUAGCCCCACAAAGGAUUCUGAGUUGUCAUGGGGUGGUCUAUAAACGUGCCUAUCCAUUAACCACUAUCUUUUUAUUUCCUCCAAUUCUUUCUGCAUCAUAUUGAAGACCCCUCUCUGACUUAAGCAGCAGAUCAGAUCAGCUCUGUUCAAAGCAUAACUUUUGUGGAUGGUUAAAGCAGGCUCCUCCUAAUCUAUUUCUAGCAUGUCAUAGAUUAGAACCUCAUGCAAAAAGCUUCAGAAAUAAAAUCAGUUCUUAUUUCUAGAAUGUAGGUCAGCUUACAGCAAGAUGCAAAUGACCAUCUUCAGAGUGCAAUGCUUCCUGGUCCUUGGUCUGCAAAAUCAUCUCAUUUUGGUCACAGGAUGUGGAGCCCAAGAAAACAUCUUCAUGGGCUUUCCAGACUGGCUCUCAUUCCUGACCAGAGCAGACUACUCCUAUAAUCACGUAGACGGAGCUGUGCUCAAAACUGACAAGCAUGCCUCUUCCUUUUACUAAAUUACUCCCUCUGCUCUUCAGAUAACAUAAGCACUUGAUUUUAUUUCUGCACUGUAUCAAGCUGACACUGCAAGCUUUAUAUAUAUUUAUAUAUAUAUAUUCUAUUUCACCUAAGGGAAAACUGUCAGUGCUCAUUUUCGCUAAAAGGAUGAAACUGCCGUAUGCAACUCCAUUCAUUUUUGGAGCAGGCUGGUUUCCAGGGGCCAGACCAAUUUCUUUGUGUGAUACCAGGCUUGAAGACAUUUGGAGGCUUGCCUUGCUGCUUCCGCUUCUCUGGAAAGAGAAUAAGCAAACUUUCUUUGGAACAAGACAGGAUGGCGGUAUAGAAGUAGCCCACGAAACUCUCCUAGUUCUGGUCUCUGUUUCACAUAACUAUCAUAGUGAACUCUGAAAGUACACUGAAAUAUUUUUUGUAAAUGUCAAGGGCACUUCCUAGCCGACUCUGGGGUUGCGGCGCUCAUCUCACUUUAUUGGCCGAGGGAGCUGGUGUACAGCUUCCGGGUCAUAAUAAUAAUAAUAAUAAUAAUAGUAAUAAUUUUUUAUUUAUACCCCACCCUCCCCAGCCAAGGCUGGGCUCAGAGCGGCUUACAAGCAAUAAUAAAAACAAGACGAAUGAUUACAACUUAAAAACAAAAUUAAAAUACAACAUUAAAAUAUUACAACAUUAAAAUAAAAUGUAGCCUCAACGCAGGAGGAGAAGGAAAGAAAAAAAGAAAGAGAGGGAGGGAAUCAAAUUGGCUCCAAGCCAAAGGCCAGGCGGAACAACUCUGUCUUACAGGCCCUGCGGAAAGAAAUCAGAUCCUGCAGGGCCCUGGUCUCAUGAGGCAGAGCGUUCCACCAGGCCGGAGCCAGAGUUGAAAAGGCCCUGGCUCUGGUUGAAGCCAAUCUAACUUCCUUAGGGCCCAGGACCACUAGGGUGAUUGCUAUUUAUGGACCUUGAGGCUCUCUGUGAGGCAUACCGGGAGAGGUGGUCUCGUAGGUACGAGGGUCCUAGGCCGUGAAGGGCUUUAAAGGUCAAAAGCAGCACCUUAAAUCUGACCCUGUACUCCACCGGGAGCCAGUGCAGCUUGAAAAGCACUGGGUGAAUAUGCUCCCAUGGCAGAGACCCCGUGAGGAGCCUCACUGAGGCAUUCUGCACCCGCUGGAGUUUCUGGGACAGCUUCAAGGGCAGUGAAUUACAGUAGUCAAGCCUGGAGAUGACCAUCGCAUGGAUCACUGUGGCCAGGUCGGGGCGGGAAAGGUAAGGGACCAACUGCUUGAUGCGGCGAAGGUGGAAAAAUGUCGCCUUGGCUGUUGCUGUAACUUGUGCCUCCAUGGAAAGGGAGGCGUCAAGGAUUACACCCAAACUCUUAACGGAAGGCAAUGGCACUAAUUGGGCCCCCGCAAGAGAAGGGAGUUGGUCCUUCAUCCCUAUGCCAUCCCGACCCAGCCAUAGGACCUCUGUCUUUGAAGGAUUUAGUUUCAAUCGGCUCCCAUGAAACCAUCUAGUCACAGCUUUCAAGCAUCUGGUCAGUGUGUUCGGGGCCGAGUCGGUGUGGCCAUCCAUCAGCAGAUAGAGCUGAGUGUCAUCAGCAUACUGGUGACAGCCCAGCCCAAAGCUCCGGAUAAUAUGGGCAAGGGGGCGCAUAAAAAUGUUAAAAAGCAUCGGGGAGAGAAUUGUGCCCUGUAGCACUCCACACACCAAGGAAUGGCGCGACGACAUUUCCCUCCCUAGUGCCACCCUCUGUCCCCGACCAGAGAUAAAAGAGCACAGCCAGUUACGGGCUAUGCCCUGUAUCCCCACGUCUGCGAGGCGGUGGUCCAGAAGAUCAUGAUCGACCAUGUCAAAGGCCGCUAACAAAUCUAAAAGGAUCAGCAGUCCUGACCCGCCUCGAUCCAGUUGUCUACGGAGAUCAUCUGUUAGGGCAACCAGAGCUGUCUCGGUCCUAAAACCAGGACGGAAACCGGACUGAAAUGGAUCUAAAGCCGAUGUUUCCUCCAGAAACCUACCAAGCUGUUCAGCAACCACUCUCUCAAUUACCUUACCCAAAUAUGGAAGAUUUGAAACUGGGUGGUAAUUGGAUAGGUCUAAGGGAUCUAAUGAAGUUUUCUUUAAGAGUGGACACACUACUGCUUCCUUCAGUUCCCCUGGGAAUGUCCCCGUGUCAAGGGACAAAUUGAUAAUUUCAACCAGGGGUGUCCGCGCAACAUCUGGACACUCCCUAAUCAGCCAAGAUGGGCACAGAUCAAGGAGGCAGGUGGUGGGCCUAACAACUUGGAGAAAUCUAUCCACAUCAGCAGGGAGUAUCCAAUCAAAAUGGUCCAACACUGGACCUGAAGUCAGUCGAGGGGCCUCCAGUUCAGUAACUGUAUCUAAAUUGGCAGGGAGGUCACGGUGGAGCAACAGGACUUUCUCCGCAAAAAAGCUCACGAAUGCCUCACAGCUGUGGGUCGAAUUUGUGCUUAAAUUUGGUUGUCCUCCUAAGGAUGUUAUUGACCUAAUUAUUCUAAAAAGUUGUGCCAGACGAGAGCUAGCGGAUGCAAUGGAAGCUGCAAAGUAAGAUUUCUUAGCAGCUUUCAAAGCCAUCUCAUAGGCUUUCAUAAGCGUCCUAUAAGAUGUUCUUGAGGCUCCGUCACGAACUCCGUCCGUGGCCAGCAUGACUAAGCCGCUUCUGGCAAACCAGAGCAGCGCACAGAAACGCCAUUUACCUUCCCGCUGAAGCGGUACCUAUUUAUCUACUUGCACUUUGACAUGCUUUCGAACUGCUAGGUUGGCAGGAGCAGGGACCGAGCAAUGGGAGCUCACCCUGUUGUGGGGAUUCGAACCACAGACCUUCUGAUCGGCAAGGCCUAGGCUCUGUGGUUUAACCCACAGCUCCACCCGCGUCUCCUGGCUGGUACAGGUCCCCAAAGACUACUUUUCACCUCUCUGGAGUCAGACUCCAGGCCAGCUUCCCCCGGUGCAGAUGAAGCUUUGAUAGAGUAGGAAGAAAAACGUUGCCUUGUCCAUCUGCUCCUUUCUCCAGCCCUUCCUGAAUUGUGAGUCUCUAGUCUGAAAGUUGUUCUGGAAGCUGAGAAUACACUGCCUGAAAGACAGGCGGUGUUGCCAAUUCUGAUUGCCAACAAUGGUUGAUUUAGAACAAGAUAAAUUCUUUUGUUUUCAAAAUCAGUCUCCUGCUGGAUUCUCUCCCACUUACGCACUUCCUCAUCAUUCUUGCAUGUUAUUUAAAGUGGUGCAGAAGAAAACAGAAAAGAUGUCCUUGACUCACCUGCCUCUCCUUUGGAAAGAUUUGGAAAUGCCUUAUUAGGCUUUAAACAUCUCAUGAAUAAGUGAGUGGUGGUGGGGAAUAAGAUUUACAGACAAUGAAAAAACUCAGAUGUACCAUAGAGAUGACUAUGAUGCCCUUUUAGAAUGGAUGUGAGUUGCGGAUAACAGUAGCCCUGCCUAGGAAUCUUCUGACCCGGAUUAAUGCAAACUGAAACUCUUGCUACUUAUGUGACAAUGAAUGCCAGAUGGAUAAGAAUUCUGAAUGUCAAAAUCCACAGAAAAAUCCUGUGACCAAAAGGUUUAUUGGGAUGUCAUUGUUUGAGCAAAAAGCACUUGCCCCUUUAAACAAAAUAGUGUUUGGAUUUUCCAUACAGUGGUGCUGUGACCAUUCGCAAAACAACCAGCAUCCUCCACUCAUCCAAAUUCAUUGCAUCAACUCAGCAGACUCUGAUGGAUGUAUUUUAGGGAGAAUGUCCAAAAAGUGAACUGUCCCUAAUGGACCGUGAGGUUCCUGGUUUCAUUUUUGCAACAUCUCAGUCUUUGGUUCCUAUUAUAUCUACAAGCUGGCUUGUGUACUGUUGAAGCCACAGAUUGAUUUCACCUUUUAAAUUAACUUGACCUUUGCCUGUUCACAGAGGCAGAACAUAUGCCAUCCUGUGCGAUUAUGAGUAAUGUCCUGCAGUAGCAAAUACAUGUUUAUAAAGUGCUGUGGUUGGCAUUCUCUGAUAUGUAUCUUCUCUUUUCGACCCUUGGGAGGCCUUUUGCAAUGCACUCGCAGCAACAUUUGGCUCUCUUUACCGUACAAUUGCUAAGUGCCUGAUGUUUCCUGGUCCCAUAAGGUGGUACAUAUAUCAUGUAAUCUCAGAGAGGGUAUACUCAAUAAUAUGGGGAUGCUUUGACAAGUGCUUGGUCUCCCAGAAGAAUUUUUGUGGUAGGGAAGGAAGGAGAAAGAUGUACUUGCAGGUUACGUCAACCAACCACUUUAGUGAAAAAUAUUUACUGUACUUCACAAAAUGAAGCUGUAAACAUUUGCUAUAAACGCUGAAUUAUGUGUAUGGUGUGUGUGCCUGUACCUCUAAGAGAAAUUGCUUUUUUAAAAAGGUUCACAAUUUUUAUUUAACUUAUAAGUAUCAUUGGCACAUCAUAGUUUUAUCGAAGAUGAUAAUCAGUUGAAAAUAUCACAAGCUUAAACAUAGCACACCAAACUGAUAAAUAGAAGGAAAAAGCAUUGCUUUCCUAAAGGCAAAUAAAAGUGCUGAUUUGUAAUAGAAUCAGAGCUGGUUAUAUUGAUUCAUAAUACUGUAUAAACUGAUGUUAUGUUGGGCCACAACCAUUAUUUUGGGGGCUACUCAAUAGCGCUAUACCAUCUUGUCAUAAAGCUAUCGUAACUUUGUCUUUGUUCUCUGAAUCUGAGGUAAUGACAUGGGUGGUGCUGUGGUCUAAACCACUGAGCCUCUUGGGCUUGCUGAUCAGAAGGUCAGCGGUUCGAAUCCCUGCGAUGGGGUGAGCUCCCAUUGCUCUGUCCCAGCUUCUGCCAACCUAGCAAUUCGAAAGCACUCCAGUGCAAGUAGAUAAAUAGAUACCACUGCAGUGGGAAGGUAAACAACAUUUCUGUGCACUCUGGCUUCUGUCACAGAGUCCCGUUGCGCCAGAAGCGGUUUAGUCAUGCAGGCCACAUGAACUGGAAAGCUGUCUGUGGACAAACGCCCCUCGGCCUGAAAGCGAGAUGAGCCCCCUACCCCAUAGUCAUCUUUGACUGGACUUAACCGUCCAGGGGUUGUUUACCUUUACCUUUUUACCUAAUGAAUCAAUUUAGGCAUAGCAUUUUCUCCAGCCAUUCCUUAAAGGAUGGUGUGUUUGCUGAUCUCCAUGUUCUGGGAAAAAGUAGUGCUCUUGCUGUAGCUAAAGCGUAGGAAGCUAAUUCUUUAUGUUAUGACACCCUCAGAACUUAAUUUAAUAGGAAAACUUCCCACAUAAUUUAAUAGGAAAAAUUGGAGGGUGAUUUCAUACCUUAAGAUCUUUUUCAUUUGGUUUUUAUAUUUCCUUCUCCUAACUCGUUCCCACCUCAUAUGGGAAAAAGCCCCCCCCCUUUCUUUUUAACACUUCCAACCUGUGCUAAUAUAUUUUUUAUUGAUUUCUUUUAUAUCUGGUCUGAGUAGAUAUACCAUCUACUCAUAGUCUUAAAAAAGCUUUCCCUUAUGCCCAUAUUUAAGGAGAACUUAUGUGACUUUCAUCUCCAAGAGAAAUUGAAAGUGCCCAAUUGUUGCCCUCAUUUAAAUCUCUCCUUGCUUCCCUACUCAGUGAUCUGUGUUGUAAAUGCAAGCCGCCUCCAGACUCUCGGUUGUAUUCAUAGUAAAAAAAAGGUAAAUGAAAUAUACUCGGAGUCCUGUAGUGAUUUCAUGCUCUUUAUUGCAGCUUGUAAAACAGUGAUUGAAUUGCCCCCCAAACCUUAGGCUUUUAUAUACAUUAUUUACACAAUGAGUCCUGUCUGAUUGGCUGAGUCUGCUUCCCUCCUGGAACCUGAUUGGUAUUCUCCUGCAAGCCAAUCAGUUGUUGCAUUCUAGGAUCCUACUUGCCUAUUGUUCUAGGACCCAAGCUUAGUACAUAACAGUAAAGGACCCCUGACAGUUAAGUCCAGUCAUGAACGACUGGGGUUGUGGCGCUCAUCUCGCUUUACUGGCCGAGGGAGCCGACGUUUGUCCGAAGACAGUUUUUCCGGGUCAUGUGGCCAGCAUGACUAAUCCGCUUCUGGCUAAACCAGAGCAGAGCAUGGGAACGCUGUUUACCUUCCCGCCGGAGCGGUACCUAUUUAUCUACUUGCACUUUGACUGCUAGGUUGGCAGGAGCAGGAACUGAGCAACUGGAGCUCACCCCGUUGCAGGGAUUCGAACUGCCGAUCUUCUGAUCGGCAAGCGCUAGGCUCAGUGGUUUAGACCACAAUAGCUUUAAGCAAAUCAUUCUGCCAGUGCAACAUAAUGAUCUCCCCCUUCUCCAUGCCCCCUAAAUGUAUUCUGGUGUCUUCCCCAACCCUCUAGAGCAGAUAUGAGGAUGAGCGGGGGGGGGGGAGUGAAAACCUGUGCUUUGCUAGCCCUAAUCCUUGCACUAGCACAACAAUUUAGUUGAAUACCCCUGUCACUAUUUUGCAGGGGGGAUUCAGGUGCAUACCAGGAAAUUUAGGUUUGCACAAUUAAAGUGGAAUAAAAUGUCACCCUAGUUCACCAACCUCCCUUUAAAAAAGAAACAGAGUCUUUGUAGUUAGAAAAGUGACAGGGAAAUGCACAGAAAAAUGUGGGAUGAACAAAUGUUUAAUGGGGAGACUUAUAAAUAUCCAGCUGGAUGAAUGCUCAUUGUUGUGUAACAUCCCUGCAAACUAAUCAGAAGAAAGACCAGAUAGAAUUUAACCUCUGCAUAAGCUUUGUGCAAAUAAGAAAUGAUGGAUGCUCAGUUGGAUGUGGUCUGGAGACAGUCUUACCUAGGCUUAUUCCAAACAAUAAAGCUAGCUUUCUUUUAGCAGUCCUUAUAAGCCUUCCUGGUACCUGGCUUUGAGAACAGCCUUCAUGGAUGCUAGACUGCCUCCUGAACCCACAAGCAAGUGAAUAAGUAUCCUACUGUAGCAAGCAGCUUGAGAAAACAGCCACAAACUGUUUUCCUUUCCUCCAUUUUUACCCUAGACAAACAACAUGGAAAAUGAUCUUUUUAAAUGUACAGUACCACUCCUAACUGUGCUAAUGAUUAAUAAGCUUUACUGUAGACUUAGGUCUGCGGGAGCAGAAUUAAUAGAAAAUUGCAAAAGAUCAAUUCUGUAGUCUGUACAGCAUAGCAAUUCUUCUUCAGAUCCCUACAUGAAAUCAUUCAAACUCCCACGCACAUUCAGGAUAGGAUCAGGGCCUUCCUGUCAAAGAGCAGACCUGUUUCUUUCAAGAUGACCAUUUGUUUUAAAAAUAAAAGCAGUCAUGGGUGGAAAAUAGGAUCUCGGCUGUGAUGCAGAUGGAAGGGAAGAGAAUUAACCCCCUUUCCCCUUGUGUUAUUUCCCCAGUCUAAAGAUUUUCCCAAGCGGUUGUUUUCCCCAGGGAGGCGGGGUGGCUGCAAAUGAGAUAAGAUUCCAAACAAGAAUAUCCUAGGGAAUUUAGAAUCAGUUAUGGCUUCUUUUCUGUGGCAGCUAUCAAGUGGAUGGCACUUCACUCCAACAGCUGACGUCUUUCUGGAUCUGGCUUUUGGCACAGAUUCACUAAUCCAGGCCGACUGAAAACCACGAAG